rnacentral:rRNA from 1 species
AAUCCAUAGGUUAAUGAGGCGAACCGGGGGAACUGAAACAUCUAAGUACCCCGAGGAAAAGAAAUCAACCGAGAUUCCCCCAGUAGCGGCGAGCGAACGGGGAGGAGCCCAGAGCCUGAAUCAGCAUGUGUGUUAGUGGAAGCGUCUGGAAAGGCGCGCGAUACAGGGUGAGAGCCCCGUACACAAAAGCGCACGUGCUGUGAGCUCGAUGAGUAGGGCGGGACACGUGGUAUCCUGUCUGAAUAUGGGGGGACCAUCCUCCAAGGCUAAAUACUCCUGACUGACCGAUAGUGAACCAGUACCGUGAGGGAAAGGCGAAAAGAACCCCGGCGAGGGGAGUGAAACAGAACCUGAAACCGUGUACGUACAAGCAGUGGGAGCCCCACCACCAAAGCGUUUCGCUUUGCGUGGUGCGCAAAAUGCGUAACGACAGCACGAUUGCGGUUAACGGAGCGUAAGCGACGUUCAACACAAAAAUCAGGCAGUGGAGCGUUUUGGGGUGGGGUGACUGCGUACCUUUUGUAUAAUGGGUCAGCGACUUAUAUUCUGUAGCAAGGUUAACCGCAUAGGGGAGCCGGAGGGAAACCGAGUCUUAAUUGGGCGUUAAGUUGCAGGGUAUAGACCCGAAACCCGGUGAUCUAGCCAUGGGCAGGUUGAAGGUUGGGUAACACUAACUGGAGGACCGAACCGACUAAUGUUGAAAAAUUAGCGGAUGACCUGUGGCUGGGGGUGAAAGGCCAAUCAAACCGGGAGAUAGCUGGUUCUCCCCGAAAGCUAUUUAGGUAGCGCCUCGUGAAUUCAUCUCCGGGGGUAGAGCACUGUUUCGGCCAGGGGGCCAUCCCGGCUUACCAAUCCGAUGCAAACUGCGAAUACCGGAGAAUGUUAUCACGGGAGACACACGGCGGGUGCUAACGUCCGUCGUGAAGAGGGAAACAACCCAGACCGCCAGCUAAGGUCCCAAAGUCAUGGUUAAGUGGGAAACGAUGUGGGAAGGCCCAGACAGCCAGGAUGUUGGCUUAGAAGCAGCCAUCAUUUAAAGAAAGCGUAAUAGCUCACUGGUCGAGUCGGCCUGCGCGGAAGAUGUAACGGGGCUAAACCAUGCAC